rfam:Aedes aegypti strain Liverpool supercont1.41 genomic scaffold, whole genome shotgun sequence.
GGCUCGGUAGCUUAGUUGGUAAAGCACUCGUCUAUUAUACUAGAGUCGUGGGUUCGAAUCUCACUUGAGCAA